UGCAUCCUACGGGGGGCAGCAGUGAGGAAUAUUGGUCAAUGGGCGGGAGCCUGAACCAGCCAAGUCGCGUGAAGGAAGAAGGGACUUAGUAUUGUAAACUUCUUUUGUCGGGGAACAAAGGCGGAGACGCGUCUCCGGAUGAGUGUACCCGAAGAAAAAGCAUCGGCUAACUCCGUGCCAGCAGCCGCGGUAAUACGGAGGAUGCGAGCGUUAUCCGGAUUUAUUGGGUUUAAAGGGUGCGCAGGCGGGUGAUCAAGUCAGCGGUGAAAUGUCGGGGAUCAAACCCGGCCGG
rnacentral:rRNA from 1 species